rnacentral:rRNA from 1 species
AACGUAGGACGCAAGCGUUAUCCGGAGUUACUGGGCGUAAAGGGCUCGUAGGCGGCCAACUAAGUCAUACGUGAAAUCCCUCAGCUUAACUGGGGAACUGCGUGUGAUACUGGAUGGCUUGGAUUUGGGAGAGGGAUGCGGAAUUCCAGGUGUAGCGGUGAAAUGCGUAGAUAUCUGGAGGAACACCGGUGGCGAAGGCGGCAUCCUGGACCAAUAUUGACGCUGAGGAGCGAAAGCCAGGGGAGCAAACGGG